GUACGGGAGGCAGCAGUGGGGAAUAUUGGACAAUGGGCGCAAGCCUGAUCCAGCCAUGCCGCGUGGGUGAUGAAGGCCCUAGGGUUGUAAAGCCCUUUCAGCGGGGAAGAUAAUGACGGUACCCGCAGAAGAAGCCCCGGCUAACUUCGUGCCAGCAGCCGCGGUAAUACGAAGGGGGCUAGCGUUGCUCGGAAUUACUGGGCGUAAAGCGCACGUAGGCGGCUUUUCAAGUCGGAGGUGAAAUCCUGGAGCUCAACUCCAGAACUGCCUUCGAUACUGGAAAGCUCGAGUCCGGGAGAGGUGAGUGGAACUGCGAGUGUAGAGGUGAAAUUCGUAGAUAUUCGCAAGAACACCAGUGGCGAAGGCGGCUCACUGGCCCGGUACUGACGCUGAGGUGCGAAAGCGUGGGGAGCAAACAGGAUUAGAUACCCGUGUAGUCCG
rnacentral:rRNA from 1 species